GUAAUCGUUCUACGAGGACAGAUCGUAAGUCGUCAUGGUCGCCGAACUGGCGAGCAUUUCUGCUGCGGCUACGGAGCAGAAAAGUACCUCAGGGUCAAAAAGACCUAGACCUAGAUGGAUCCAAACCGCAACCCGCGAGCCAGUCUACAGUAUCUUGGAUAGUAAGGAGAGUUCUGUCGGGAGUAUUCCACCUGGUGUUAAGGAUAAUGUCGUGGUGAUAAGUGCUGUACAAAAUAGAGACAAUACAAGAGAGUCCAGGGUGAACGAAGGUGAGCAGAGAGAGUUACCUUACGUCUGGUUACCUUUGGAGAACAGAACUACAGAUUCCGAGAAUUACAGGAUAGAGGUAGAGGACGAGCAUGCUAUAUACAGCGUGGUCAGAAAGCGCACCAAGGAACCCGAAGUUCUGACACGUCAGCAGGAACUGAACAAGUGGUUGCAAACAGCCUCCGAACAUUUGAAAAGAGAUACCUUUGGAGAACGUCCUCGAGAAACAUCCGAGAUAGACCUUCCACGAAGCUCCAGAGCAAUGUUCUCCGAUGAAAUGGAUGAGGAAUGGAAAAAAGAGAGAAACCCGUCCUCGGCACCCAAAGGAGUGGUAGGUCUGGUAGGACCUUACAGAGUCUAUCCAAACCCUAGUGAACGCAUGGAAUACAUGCUUCAGGAAGAAGAACUCGUCGAAGAGGUAGUAGACUCUGUUAGUGAAAUAGCAGCAGCAGCUGGUAUAGAAAUACAUCAGCGCGCCAAGUGGCGCAUUCGAGAAGAUGACGAAGAAACUCUAGUACCGGAUCUACAAGAUCCUGAGGACCUUAAAGAAGAACGAGUCAAGAUAAACCCUGUUCCAGAAAGCUGGCGUCACAGGGAACUUCCAGACCUUGACGUGGGACGUGAAAAUUGGAAACUCAGAGAAAGCGAUUCUUCGUACAAGACAAUUGGGAUAUUAUCUGGUAAAGAGGAAAGAGCUGUCGACGUACCAGAUGGAGCUUCAAAUGCUUCUAACGAUCUUAAUUCCAGAACUGGAAAUAAUGAGCAGCAGGAUAAGGACAGCUUAAACGAGACAGGAAGCACAACGGGCGGCGCAGUGGAGGGAACACCUGGUGGAACCCCUUCGAGGGGUGACAGGACAAAUAAUGAUCCUCAGGUGCCAGUGUCAUCAACUUCGCCGCCCUCAAGGUCCCUUGUAUCCAGGAUCCUUGCUAGGGCUAAAUCACCGGAUGAUCUACUGGACCACUCAGAGCCAUUCUCACAGCUAUGGGUGGUCCUCUCGAAUGUCUAUGGAGAGCUGGUGAUAGUCCUGAUGCUGGCCCUGUGCCUGGCCGAAGUGAUGGAUACUCCGGUACCACUGAUGAGCCUCCAGAGCGUCUUCCUGAUGUAUCUCUACGUUGGGAGUAUUGCUGUUAUUAUCAGCAUCUACAUCUGGGUCCUUGUCGACAGCUGCAGUAGCAUGGGAAACGGUACCACUGGUGUGGAUGAUGCAGAACUGGGCGGCGCUUCUCUGACCAGAUUUGGAUCAUUAAAAAGGGCCCAUAUAUCGCGGGCCAGGACAGCCCCGACAAGCUUUUAUAUUCGUGUUGGUGCUCUCUUGUUUGGAUUGGCUACCUUGGUAUUUAACGGCCUGGAGAUGGCGAUGCACUCGAUGAUGCAGGGUGCUGAGUGUCUCAGCGAUGUUGUAUUUGUGCAUCCAGUCUUACACGGGCUCUUUACCUUCCUUCAGAUGCACUUCCUCUUUGUCAACUCACAGGUUCUGGUAGAGAGAUUUGGCUUAGCUGCUAGAUUUGGUUUCAUUCAUCUUGCUGCAACAAAUAUUGCUGUUUGGGCCCGUUUGGUUGUGUGGGAUUCAGCGCAGGAGUGGACUUACUUUGUCCAUCUUGCUCAACGGGGUCCGCAUACAUCUUCAUCGCCGCUUAAUCUUCGUGGAUUCCCUGGUUCACUGACUAGACACACGCGAGAUUUACUUGGUGAAACUUCGACAGACCAAAGUCUCAUCAGAGCUUAUCAACCUAUAUCCAGUGAGCAAAUUUCGCAGGUUGUCGCCUUGCAAGAAUGUCUGAAUACCAACACCCUGGGCCAAUUAUGGACGUCCAGUAUGCCAUUCCUCUAUCCAUUCAUUGUGCAAUUUAGCUUGAUUGCAGCUGCCGUUACGUUCGUAAUGGGUCAAAACGUGGGUCGCAAUCGUUUAUCCCACAAACAGAAGUUUCAUACGAGUAAAGACUUGACGAGUCACAUGCGCGUCGGUUGCGACGGCUCCAGCAAGGGUCUCUUCCUGGGAAUCCUUUGUAUGGUGGCUGGUAUAGUGGUCAUUCUGAUUUUCCUGGUAGUCCGAGAUGAUGAGAAUUUUCCACCGGAAACGUUAUCCUGGUUGACCUGCGGUACCCUUAUCGGCAUCCUGACACUGAGUGGUGUAAUGACAGCCAGUGGUCUGAUCCAGGUACGGCAGAUGUCUGUCGUGACAAGAGCACCAGCUGCACUAGACAGUCUACUGUCGAAUGUCGCCUUGUUUGGAGUCCAGCUGUACUCAAUAUUCACCAUAGUAGUAUCGGCCUGUUCUCUGGCCACCCUGGACGAGGAAACGGAAGACACCCGGAGCAGACACAUCAUGCUCCUCUCCGCCUCAGUUCUUCAGUUAAUACAGUGCUGUGCUCAGAGUACUCUGAUCGCUGAAGCCUCCAAGAGAUCCUGCAUCACGCGCUUCCAGAUGAUGGCGAAGCCUGCAAGGCAGGUCAUCACUUUCCUCCUCUUCAGCAACGCUGUCCUCUGGGCCUUUGACACCGUAGUCACACAGAACUGGCUCUCUCAGGAACUGCAAUUGAGAUUCUUCGGCGUCCUGGCCUGGGGCGUCAUUUGUCGAAUUGGUCUGCCUCUUCUAGUCUUCUACAGAUUUCACAGUUGUGUCCUAUUAUUGGAAGCUUGGAACAAGUGCUACAGAGUGCCAAGAGGCGAGCUCCCGCUCAACUGACGGCACAGAAGAUCUUGCCGAUUAUCCUCCAGGUACCAACUUCCACAAUCCCCUAAGAAAACUGGCGCCAAGAGCACACCAUCUUCACUGUCACAGACGAGUUAUUCUAGACCUCCAAAAGAGCGAAGACGGCUCGUCGACCUUAAGACGACCUCUCAAGAGGCCAAGAAAUCCAAGUUCUCUUGG